UACAGAGGUCUCAAGCGUUGUUCGGAUUCAUUGGGCGUAAAGGGUGCGUAGGUGGCGCGCUAAGUCAGGUGUGAAAUUUCGGAGCUUAACCCCGAAACUGCAUUUGAUACUGGCGUGCUUGAGGACUGGAGAGGAGACUGGAAUUCACGGUGUAGCAGUGAAAUGCGUAGAUAUCGUGAGGAAGACCAGUGGCGAAGGCGGGUCUCUGGACAGUUCCUGACACUGAGGCACGAAGGCCAGGGGAGCAAACGGG
rnacentral:rRNA from 1 species